GUUUCUGUAGUUGAAAUUUACAACGACGAUUUUUCAGGUCGUAGAUUUUGGAGAAAGGCCAAGCAGAAACU
rnacentral:tRNA from 1 species